AAACCAUGAUUAGGGAAAUCCCUAGUGUACUCCUUGAAACGUUCCAAUGCCUCAAAGAAUGACUCCGUAGCUCCUUGCUUGAAGCUUGAGAUUUUGUUACUCAUGGAGCUC
rfam:Arabis alpina cultivar Pajares Aa.chr8_contig_2883, whole genome shotgun sequence.